AAGCAAGGUCUGGUAAGACCUAAAGAUCUUACCUUCUGAGAAUAGUGAAACUGACCCCUUAGACUUCGUGGGUGAGUUGCUGGAUAAACACAUGAAGAGCAUGGACUAUCUGGAAUACCAUCUUGGCUUUCAGAAGAAAUCAGCAGAAGGAAUAGCAGGAAGGCCUGUUUGAAAGACCUGCUGAAGUGUCAGGUGAAGAGAGUUAACUUCUGAAGACAACACCUUUAGAACUAAGUGAAAAAUAAAACAUAUGGGAGACCCACAAAGAGGAAUGGGGAUGUCAACUUCUAACUGGUUAACUCCACUAAAUCAAGAAAUCUAGACCAAUAUGAAACAAGUAUAGAAAGCUGGAUAGCCCCAAGGAAGGCAUAUUUCUGAAAACUCAUCACAGGCUCCAUGCCCAGUGCAGAACCCAAC